rnacentral:rRNA from 1 species
AUGCAGGGUGGUCUGGUCUUGCCGCGUCGGCCAGGGAGCUCCGCCCUAGGUUUGGACGUCCUCGCAAAGAGGAAACGAGAAGCACAAGCCAGCAACGCAUUCAGGCCUCGUCCCCACAAGGAAGAAGUGGCGGCUGAGCAUAGAUCAGGAGAAAUCGCGAGAGACGAUUACCGCCGCCGAUGGGAAUGGGAAGCUACACCUCGUCGGGAGUACCGUGAUGAUCCACCUGCAUCCCAACGGCAACAUCCGGCACCAUCCCUACGCCCUUCUGGCUCCUCAAAAGGGCCUUCUUCUUCGUGCAAUGACACUGAAGCUCGUACACGGCCCCCAACAGCUGAUGGAAAAUUUAAGGUCACCGAGGAGAUGAUGCAGGAGAUGGAUUACAAUGCUGACCGCACAUGGUAUGGCUGCGAAGAACAGAGCAGUAUAUUCAAUGCCGGUAGUUAUCUUGGAGAUGAUGCUUCCUUUCAGAAUAAUAAGAAGGCAAAAUUGCUCAAGAAGUUGACUCGCCAGGAUGGAAGUCUGAUGACUCUUGCUCAGAGCAGAAGGUUAUCUCAGGUAACCGCUGAGAAUGGUCGGUGGGAGAACAGGCAGUUGUUCAGAUCCGGCGCUGUUAGAAGAACAGAGGUGCAGACGGAGUUCGACGAUGAGGAUGAGCGUAAAGUGAUACUACUUGUUCAUGACACGAAACCCCCAUUCCUUGAUGGACGAGUAGUGUUCACAACGCAAGCAGAGCCUGUAUUGCCACUCAAGGACCCGACAUCUGACAUGGCUAUUAUUGCACGCAAAGGAUCUCUUUUGGUUAGGGAAAUUCGUGAAAAGCAGAGUAUGAACAAGUCAAGGCAACGCUUCUGGGAGCUUGCUGGAUCUAAGCUAGGACAUAUUUUGGGUGUUAAGAAAACAGCCCAACAGGCUGAUGCUGACACUGCGCUUGUUGGUGACCAAGGUGAUCUUGACUUCAAAGAGAAGCUGAAAUUUUCACAACACUUGAAGGAAAAGGCAGAAGCAGUCAGCGAUUUUGCAAAAUCAAAAUCUCUUUCUCAACAGAGGCAAUACCUUCCCAUAUACACUGUCCGGGAUGACCUGCUAAGAGUUGUGCGGGAAAAUCAAGUAGUUGUGGUCGUUGGUGAAACUGGUUCCGGGAAGAACUACCCAGCUGACUCAAUAUCUGCAUGA